ACAGAUAGACCAGUGGCAGACAGUAAUGGGUGGCUGGAUGAAUGAAUACGAAGCCAGUGCAGAAGUCCCAAAAGCAGCAAUUCAACAUGAAAUGAUGAUUUGAUACUGCCUCUAAAAAGUCCAACUCCAGGGAAGAACUUCAUCUAUAGCUGGUUUGGCCCUUCAAAACAAAUGUACAGUGGGACGAUUUUGGCCAGCUUGGCAGCCUAUGUGUUGCUCAUGUUCAGAAGUUUGAUGGCUUGAGGAAUAAAAGACCAUUUGGACCUGUUUUUGGUGAACAAUGGGUCUCAUUCGUGCAACCUGCAUCCUUCCUGCCUCCAGCUCAUUCUGGCCAGUUAGAGAUCCUCAUCCAAGUCUCCACCUGCCACAUUUCUUCCGCUACAACCAGUGUCGAGAUUCCGGGGGGUCCUGACCUACUUCUACCACUUUGGACUCCACUCUGCUGUGUAACUUGGCGUAAUCACCAAACAACUUUUUACUCAAACUCUGUUCUUCUAUAAAUCAUGUCCAAUUCUUUCGAAUGAUCUGUCCUUAUUGAACUGAUUCUCGGGACAUUUGGGGACAGGAAAACAACCUUUGAACACAACAAUAUUUAUAAUUUGAUACAGAGGUCUCAUGAGCAUGAAGUAAUAGUUCUCAUUUACUCCUGGUUUUGGUUGC